UGUUGCAAAUUUGCCUUGAAAACGUGAAAAAACAACACUAGUCUGCUGUUUUCCGCCCCGGGCGGAAAAACCUGUGUUCCGGGCGGAAAUUUGAAGCAGGAAAAGGGGUGCUCACUGUUUUGCCGCCCCAGGCGGAAAAACUGGUGUUUCAGGCGGAAGUUUCCGCCCCAGGCGGAAAAAGCUGUGUUUCAGGCGGAAAUCGCUGCAGGGUAUUUAAAGGGUCACGUUUUCUGUUUUUUGGGAGAAAGUUUUUAGGUUUUGUGCAGCCAACAACAGUCUAGGGUUAUAAGAAAACAUUCUUGGGUAUACUCUAGGGUUGGGAUAACAAUCUAAACACCUUGGUAGUCACUUAUCAUUGAAAUCUCUUGGUCACGGGAAGAGAUUUGGGAAAAGGGUAGAAUUAGGG
rnacentral:lncRNA from 1 species